rnacentral:pre_miRNA from 1 species
UUGCUAGUUGGGUUGCUUAAAAUUAUGUCGGUGGGUCCAGACUGACACAUAGGAUUUAAGCAACUCAAGCAA